GAGAAUGAUAGACGGAGUGAAUGAUCUAGAGAGCAGGAGUAAGUCUAUAAAGGGCCUCCUGUAGCAUCUCCAAACAGCCCAUCCAACCCAGAAACUCCAGCACCACGUGGACAAAUGGAACAGCCCUCUGUAAGGCACCACGGAGGUGACCAAAGCUGAUGUUUUGAAGAUGCCAACUUCAGAGAGCUGGCUGUGAUCUCCAGUGAGAUAACCCUGGAGAGUAUGUCAUAUUGAAAAUUGUUAGAAUUGCAAAGUCUGUGGUAGAGUCCUGCUCAGGUCAGGUACCCGUGGAAUACCCACAAAGUGGCCGGGUUUUGGGCAGAAAGUUCAGAUUCGUUUAUUGUGCAGUUAGUUCAUGGGUGGGUGCCCAGGUACCUGGCCAAGAUGUGGGUUUGGUCCCUCCGAUCCUCCCCUGAGUUUAUGGCACAAAUUGUCCCCUUAACCAUCUUAUUAGGCUCCAGUGUGACAUCAUUUUCGGUCCAUAGUGAUGUCACUUCCAUUUUCACUGGUUCCUAGAUCAGAAGGUACGUUUAAUUGUUUGCGGGCAGGGUAGGGGGUCUAGCUAAUGGAACAUAUUGGAUGGUGGAUGCGGGUCUGGUUGCAGGUCAACGGGGUUGGUCACAGUUCUGCUCGUCUGGACCCACGCAGGUCUCUGAAUGAGAAUUUUAUUCAGAUUUAGAAGUGUGAAAUUGGAGAUUACCCCAGUAAAAUGUUGUCACUCCCCUUUUACCCACCUCUAAAAACCCCAUAGGAAUGAAUUCAGAGUGGCAGAAUUUUACCGGGGUAAACUCUUAUUCCACGCUUUGAUAAAUCUGCCACAUAAUCCAGAACCCUGGUUCAGAGGCCCAUUUAUCAAAGUUCGAAUUUAUCUCAUUUUGUUCUAAAAACUACUCCUAACAAAUAAGCACUGUUUUUUCCCCUUAUUUAUCAAUACAUUUUCCUGAAAAUUUCCUGUGCGAGAAAAAUCCUGAAAAAAUCCUGAAAAAACGAAUCGUACGAAAUGUUCUGGUUUUCCAUCGAAAAACUCAGAUUUUUUCAGAUUUUUGCCUGAAAACUGGAUCGGAUUAUUGGAUGACCACAACGCAGAUAUCUUCGGGAUUGCUCCUAUGGACUUAUAUGCAACUUCGGCAGUUCUGAGAUGCCGGAUUUUCGGAUUCAGACUUUUUCCAUCCUCGGGGUAUAAUAAAUACCAAAAAAAGGUUUUUCUUUUUUAACUGCAGUGCAAUGUUUUGUUUUUUUAAGCACAAAGCUUUGUCUUUCAAGUAAAUAAAUGAAACGUGUCGGUGUGGUGUUUUCUAUGGUUCACCAAGAGAAGCCUCAUUUAUUGAGCGACAAUGUUCACUCACAGAACUUCUAUAAUAAAAGUCCUUUGACUUGAA